GGUGAUGUAGAAGGGCAGCAGGGCAGCAGCCUCAACGCCACAGGUAACCGCUGAGGAUGUUUAAAAAGGACACCACCAAUAGCAGAGCACUCUAUUGCUGCAAUUAUAUGCAGCGUGUGUGUAUGAUGUUGUUGGGUUGUUGACAUGGCCCGUGGUCCAGUUGCGGCUCAUGCUCAAGGCACGGUCGAGGCUGG